UUUUCAAACGUUUCUAAGGCGUGGCUUCAAUGUUGUAAUUACAAUGGUUAAAUUUUGAAAAUAAACAUUGAAGCCACGCCUUAGAAACGUUUGAAAAUCU